GUACACGCUGUGACUAGCAUAUCAAUAAGCGGAGGAAAAGAAACUAACUAGGAUUCCCUCAGUAACGGCGAGUGAAGCGGGAAGAGCUCAAAUUUGAAAUCUUCAAGGUUCUACCUUGACGAAUUGUAGUUUAAAGAAGUGUUUUCUGUUGGAGUUUUGGUAAAAGUUCUUUGGAAUAGGACAUCAUAGAGGGUGAGAAUCCCGUAUUUGACCAUUAUUUCCAGCUUUGUGAUACACUUUCAAAGAGUCGGAUUGUUUGGGAAUGCAGUCCAAAAUGGGUGGUAAAUUUCAUCUAAAGCUAAAUAUUGGCGAGAGACCGAUAGCGAACAAGUACCGUGAGGGAAAGAUGAAAAGAACUUUGAAAAGAGAGUUAAACAGUACGUGAAAUUGUCAAAAGGGAAGCGUUUGACACCAGUGUUGUUUUCUCGAAAAUCAAUUAAAAAAGGCAGGAUUUUGUGUUGUAUUGACUUUAUCAGCUUUCUGCACUCUUUUCUUGUCUUUUUUAAUGCACUUUUCGUUUAACAAGUCAACAUCAAUUUCUUUUGUUGUAAAAGGGUCAUUGGAAGGUGGCUUUCUUUUCGGAGAAAGUGUUUAUAGCCUUUGCUCUCUGCAAUCGGAGAGAUUGAGGUCUGCAGCGUAGAUCCUUCGGGGUUAGAUACAUUUGUGCUAAGUUAUAGCCUUUCAUAGACAACUUGUUGACUAUGAUCAGUCAUGUAGCUUACUCGCUUAUGCUAUUUUACCUACGCUUAGGAUGUUGAAGACUCUACAGAGAUA
rnacentral:rRNA from 1 species